rnacentral:rRNA from 1 species
AUUUAACGCUGGCGGCAGGCCUAACACAUGCAAGUCGAGCGAGCGGCGGACGGGUGAGUAAUGUCUGGGAAACUGCCUGAUGGAGGGGGAUAACUACUUGAACCGGUAGCUAAUACCGCAUACCAUCAGAUGUGCCCAGAUGGGAUGAGCUAGUAUGUGGGGUAACGGCUCACCUAGGCGACGAUCCCUAGCUGGUCUGAGAGGAUGACCCGCCACACUGGAACUGAGACACUGUCCAGACGCCUACGGGAGGCAGCAGUGGGGAAUAGUUCACAAUGUGCGCAAGCCUGAUGCAGCCAUGCCGCGUGUGUGAAGAAGGCCUUCGGGUUGUAAAGCACUUUCAGCGGGGAGGCGUUACCCGCAGAAGAAGCACCGGCUAACUCCGUGCCAGCAGCCGCGGUAAUUC